UGAUCCCGCGCGGGAGAGAGGGGCGCCCGCCUGGGCGGCGCCGCCCCCGCCGAAGGCGCAACCGGCCCCCGGAAACGCUCAGGCAGAAGGACCGCGUGGGGAAG
rnacentral:ncRNA from 1 species